UACAGAGGUCUCAAGCGUUGUUCGGAUUCAUUGGGCGUAAAGGGUGCGUAGGCGGCGCGGUAAGUCGGGUGUGAAAUCUCGGGGCUUAACUCCGAAACUGCAUUCGAUACUGCCGUGCUUGAGGACUGGAGAGGAGACUGGAAUUUACGGUGUAGCAGUGAAAUGCGUAGAGAUCGUAAGGAAGACCAGUGGCGAAGGCGGGUCUCUGGAAAGUUCCUGACACUGAGGCACGAAGGCCAGGGGAGCAAACGGG
rnacentral:rRNA from 1 species